UCUUGGUCAAUUUAGAGGAAGUAAAAGUCGUAACAAGGUUUCCGUAGGUGAACCUGCGGAAGGAUCAUUACAGAGAUCAUGCCCUUCGGGGUAGACCUCCCACCCUUUGUUAUACCAACGAAUGUUGCUUUGGCGAGCCGCCCUAGGCCGUCGGCCUCGGCUGACGCGUGCUCGCCAGAGACCCCAAACUCUGUAUCAGUGUCGUCUGAGUACUAUAUAAUAGUUAAAACUUUCAACAACGGAUCUCUUGGUUCUGGCAUCGAUGAAGAACGCAGCGAAAUGCGAUAAGUAAUGUGAAUUGCAGAAUUCAGUGAAUCAUCGAAUCUUUGAACGCACAUUGCGCCCCUUGGUAUUCCGGGGGGGCAUGCCUGUUCGAGCGUCAUUUCAACCCUCAAGCUCUGCUUGGUCUUGGGCCCUGCCGGCAACGGCUGGCCUCAAAAGUAGUGGCGGCGCCAUCGUGCUCUCAGCGUAGUAAUUCUUCUCGCUGUUGGGUCCCGGUGGACGCUGGCCAGCAACCCCCCAUUUUCUAAUGUUGACCUCGGAUCAGGUAGGGAUACCCGCUGAACUUAAGCAUAUCAAUAAGCGGAGGAA
rnacentral:rRNA from 1 species